AGUGGAAUAACUGGGUCAAAUGGUGGAUCCAUUUUAAGUUUUUCAAGGUAUGUCCACACUGCUUUCCAGAUUGGCUGCACCAAUUUGCAGUCCCACCAGCAAU
rnacentral:pre_miRNA from 1 species